GACGAACGCUGGCGGCGUGGAUUAGGCAUGCAAGUCGAACGGUAUCAUCCUUUCGGGGGUGAGAGAGUGGCGAACUGGUGAGUAACACGUAGGUUAUCUACCCUCAAGACGGGGACAACCCAGGGGAAACUUGGGCUAAUACCGGAUGUGAGCAACUUUUAGUUGUUUGAAAGGUGGCGUAAGCUGUCGCUUGGGGAUGAGCCUGCGUCCUAUUAGUUAGUUGGUGAGGUAACGGCUCACCUAGGCAAUGAUAGGUAGGCGGCCUUAACGGGUGUCGCCCACACUGGGAUUGAGAUACGGCCCAGACUCCUACGGGAGGCAGCAGUCGAGAAUAGUCUACAAUGGUCGGAAGACUGAUAGUGCGACGCCGCGUGAACGAUGAAUCCCUUCGGGGUGUAAAGUUCUUUUAUAUGUGAGCAGUGCUUCUUAUAUUAACAGUAUGGGGAGAGAGAUAUUAGCAUAUGAAUAAGCAACGGCUAACUCCGUGCCAGCAGCCGCGGUAAACUCGUA
rnacentral:rRNA from 1 species